UCGCUACUACCGAUUGAAUGGCUUAGUGAGCUCCAUGGACUGUCACGCGGUGGGGGGUUUCCCCCAUUGCGAGACGGGAAGUGGAUCAAACUUGAUCAUUUAGAGGAAGUAA
rnacentral:rRNA from 1 species